ensembl:lncRNA
GUAAAAGAGAUAAUGUACAGUUAUGAACAUUGUGGCAGAUAGCACUGGAUAUAAUUUAAAGCUGUUUAUAUCGGCUGUACAUCUGCAGUGGCUUGUUUCUGGGUGUUAAAAAAGUUUGAGGCCUCAAGGCACUGGUUUGUAAUCUAUUAUAAUCCGGCAUUAUCAUAAUAUGUGUUUCUACACUAUAAAAUGCAGCCCUCUAAAACUGAAAAGUAAAAAUUAAUUGCUGCAUUUUUAAGUAAUCUUUGGGUAAAAUUACAGUGAUUCUGAACCAUAUUAAAUGACUUUUAAACACUCUGUUGUUGUGACAAAUUUUUGCACAGCAAGCGUAGAAAUUAAGUCUCCGGUGUGUUUGAGUGUUGUUAACUCAAAGCAGGUCUGAUUUGCUUUGAAAAUAAACUUAAACUGAGCUUGGUUUGCAAGAAAAAUAGGGAUAAAUGAAUUAUUUAAAGGGUUUAUCUUGUCACUGUGUCUUGACAACACACACCAUGUCUGCAUUGAGUCACCAAAUGAAAAUAUUAAGAAAAUGACCUGUGUACAAUUCUACAUUAUAAAUGAUUAAAUAAAAUCCAGCUCAAAAUGAUUCGCUGGUCUUUUUUCGUUGUCAUUCUCAGACCUGCUACUAUAAGAUACUAUUUAAUAUAGUAAAAUCAAUGUGAGUGCGGGAGUUUUGAUUAAAUACAUGCCAAGUCAGUUUGAUUUUUAUAGUGCUUUUCACAGUAUUUUCACAUUAUUGUUUUAAAACAGCUUUACUAAGCAAUAGUGCCUUAAAAAUUGUAAUACAUUGAAAUGUACAAAAAACAUAUCACUGGUGUUUUACUGUUUUAUAACAAUAAUCUGUAGAGGCAAACACAUCCAAUCAUUGGGAUAUCAGUGGCUGGAUAUUUGACCAGGACUCAGAAAUGGUUUCUCUGGGGGCAGCUGCAUAUCCUGGGUCAAGAGAGAAGCAUCCUGACCCAAAGGAAGAGCCUGACCUGUCUUAAUUUAAUCUAUCCGCCCGCUGUUCUUUGAAGACAUGUUGAAGCCCGGGGGCAGAGCUGAGCUGACC